UUGUUAAAUCUUGCUUAUGUUGAAGUGUCUGUGGAUUAUUUUGUUGAGGUGUGGGUCUCUAUUUUUGCCUAGCUCUGUAGCUAUCGUUUUGACUUUAAACCAGAUGCUACUUGUGCUUGGAAGAGGUUAUUAAAGGUUAGGAAUACAUUGAAACCCUGCACCAGAUAUACGGUGGGUAACAGAGAUAAUUUGGCCAAAGUAUCUGCUGUAAUUCAUGGCUCUCAUUAAAAGUAUCUGCUAGGUCUGAAGAGUUGGUUUCCAUCCAAGGUGCAGUUUGUGGUGUGAAUUUUCCUAAUUCCUCAGCUGCAGAUGAAGUUGUAUGCAAAAGCUUCUUCAAACGGUUGCUAUAACUCCUUUGUUGCUUGCAAAAUUGUCAGAAGCAGGAGUAAAAUGUUGACUGGCACAAACUUGUGGGUUCUCCCCUAAUGUGCCAAGAGCUGGCUUUUUAUCUUGGUUGGUAAUACGUGAUAAACUCCCCACUUUUAAGAGGAUUUACGGUUGGUGUGUUGGGAGUACUAGAUCUCUCUGAUUGUUCUGUAAUAUAAGCAUGGAAUCUUGCUCUCAUCUAUUUUUCGAGUGUAGUUUCUCUAAUCAAGUAUGGAGCAAGGUGCUGCAGCUUUGUUGGAUUCAUAAAACUCCAAGAGUUCGGAAUUACGAAUUUGGUUUGAUAUAACAAGCUGCUCAGGGAAAGAUUUUCUGAAGUGUCUAUUAGAGUUUAUAUGGAACCACUGUAUCUGUUAUAUCUUGAGUCCAUGAAUAGUUUGUAUCGGAUACAGGUAGUUGGGUUGUUGAUGUAAUCAAAAUUAUCAAGCUCUUUGUUA